rnacentral:rRNA from 1 species
GUAGUCAUAUGCUUGUCUCAAAGAUUAAGCCAUGCAUGUCUAAGUAUAAGCAAUCUAUACUGUGAAACUGCGAAUGGCUCAUUAAAUCAGUUAUCGUUUAUUUGAUAGUACCUUACUACAUGGAUACCUGUGGUAAUUCUAGAGCUAAUACAUGCUAAAAACCCCGACUUCGGGAGGGGUGUAUUUAUUAGAUAAAAAACCAAUGCCCCUCGGGGCUCCUUGGUGAAUCAUAAUAACUUAACGAAUCGCAUGGCCUUGCGCCGGCGAUGGUUCAUUCAAAUUUCUGCCCUAUCAACUUUCGAUGGUAGGAUAGUGGCCUACCAUGGUGGCAACGGGUAACGGGGAAUGA